GUGGGGAAUAUUGGACAAUGGGCGAAAGCCUGAUCCAGCCAUGCCGCGUGUGUGAAGAAGGUCUUCGGAUUGUAAAGCACUUUAAGUUGGGAGGAAGGGCAGUAAGUUAAUACCUUGCUGUUUUGACGUUACCGACAGAAUAAGCACCGGCUAACUUCGUGCCAGCAGCCGCGGUAAUACGAAGGGUGCAAGCGUUAAUCGGAAUUACUGGGCGUAAAGCGCGCGUAGGUGGUUUUGUAAGUUGGAGGUGAAAUCCCCGGGCUCAACCUGGGAACUGCCUCCAAAACUGCAUGACUAGAGUACGGUAGAGGGUAAUGGAAUUUCCUGUGUAGCGGUGAAAUGCGUAGAUAUAGGAAGGAACACCAGUGGCGAAGGCGACUACCUGGACUGAUACUGACACUGAGGUGCGAAAGCGUGGGGAGCAAACAGGAUUAGAAACCCCGGUAGUCC
rnacentral:rRNA from 1 species